CUACGGGACGCAGCAGUGAGGAAUUUUGCGCAAUGGGGGAAACCCUGACGCAGCAACGCCGCGUGAGCGAAGAAGGCCCUCGGGUCGUAAAGCUCUGUCAAGUGGGAAAAAAGCCUUUUGAUCAAUACCCAAAAGGUUUGAUGGUACCACUGGAGGAAGCACCGGCUAACUCCGUGCCAGCAGCCGCGGUAAUACGGAGGGUGCAAGCGUUGUUCGGAAUUACUGGGCGUAAAGGGCGUGCAGGCGGUUUGGCAAGUCAGAUGUGAAAGCCCUGGGCUUAACCCGGGAAGUGCAUUUGAAACUGCCUUUCUUGAGUAUGGGAGAGGAGAGUGGAAUUCCCAGUGUAGAGGUGAAAUUCGUAGAUAUUGGGAGGAACACCCGUGGCGAAGGCGACUCUCUGGACCAAUACUGACGCUGAGACGCGAAAGCGUGGGGAGCAAACAGGAUUAGAUACCCCCGUAGUC
rnacentral:rRNA from 1 species